AGAGUUUGAUUAUGGCUCAGGAUGAACGCUAGCUACAGGCUUAACACAUGCAAGUCGAGGGGCAGCAUUGGAGUAGCAAUACUUCAGAUGGCGACCGGCGCACGGGUGAGUAACACGUAUCCAACCUGCCGCUUACUCGGGGAUAGCCUUUCGAAAGAAAGAUUAAUACCCGAUGGUAUAAAGAGUUCGCAUGUUCUCUUUAUUAAAGAAUUUCGGUAAGCGAUGGGGAUGCGUUCCAUUAGAUUGUUGGCGGGGUAACGGCCCACCAAGUCUACGAUGGAUAGGGGUUCUGAGAGGAAGGUCCCCCACAUUGGAACUGAGACACGGUCCAAACUCCUACGGGAGGCAGCAGUGAGGAAUAUUGGUCAAUGGACGAGAGUCUGAACCAGCCAAAAGUAGCGUGAAGGAUGACUGCCCUAUGGGUUGUAAACUUCUUUUAUAAGGGAAUAAAGUGAGGGACGUGUCCCUUUUUGUAUGUACCUUAUGAAUAAGGAUCGGCUAACUCCGUGCCAGCCGCCGC
rnacentral:rRNA from 1 species